rnacentral:rRNA from 1 species
GAUGAACGCUGGCGGCGUGCCUAAUACAUGCAAGUCGAGCGAACGGACGAGAAGCUUGCUUCUCUGAUGUUAGCGGCGGACGGGUGAGUAACACGUGGAUAACCUACCUAUAAGACUGGGAUAACUUCGGGAAACCGGAGCUAAUACCGGAUAAUAUUUUGAACCGCAUGGGUCAAAAGUGAAAGACGGUCUUGCUGUCACGUAUAGAUGGAUCCGCGCUGCAUUAGCUAGUUGGUAAGGUAACGGCUUACCAAGGCAACGAUGCAUAGCCGACCUGAGAGAGUGGUCGCCCACACUGGAACUGAGCCACGGUCCAGGCUCCUACGGGAGGCCGCAGUAGGUAAUCUUCCGCAAUGGGCGAUAGCCUGACGGAGCAACGCCGCGUGAGUGAUGACGGUCUUCGGAUCGUAAAACUCUGUUAUUAGGGAAGAACAUAUGUGUAAGUAACUGUGCACAUCUUGACGGUACCUAAUCAGAAAGCCACGGCUAACUACGUG